rnacentral:lncRNA from 1 species
AAUCGUUCUUAAAGCAAUAGCAAGUAAGGUAAUGAAAUUGAAACUUAGAAUUCACUUAGAUUGCAGAAAUCAGCUUUUAGACACGAAGGGAAAAUUCAAACAAUAUUUAGGGCCGAAUUCUAUGUUUUGGACCCUUUCUUCAACAAGCAGCACUUUAAAACUCUUUUUCGCAUUUUUUUCAACUUUUCUUUUCUUUUCAACAAGCAUAAUAACUCACACUUCCCCCACACUUGUUUUCUGCCAUACAUUAUGAAGGAAAAUUUUUGUCCUAGCUAAGAACAAGUAUGAACAUUUGAAUACAUAUGCAUACUAUUAACUCAUUAAUAUAGGCAUGCAUCCAAAAACAAUUCAAUAAAACCCAUGACUUUCAAAGCCUAGUAUAUGGUGAACCAAAAUGAACUCUUUAACAACAUUAAAGAGAAAGAAGAAUUUAGUGAUUCUUUACCCUUGAAGCUCAUCCUUGUUUACACAAGGGAUUCACCCAAGUGGAGGGCCUUCAAGUCACCUCCAAGCUCCUUGAAUCCUUCUUGUGUUUUCUUCCCUUUUGUGCUCCUUUGAUGAUUUGAGGAAAAAGGAUUUGUUCUCCAAAACACCAAAAGCUUGAUGUCUCUAAGUCUCUUCACCAAGGUUGUAUCUUGUGAAGAUGAUAUGGAUGAUUAAAAGAAGAAGAGAUUGCUAGAUAUUUCUUCCUUUAAUGGCCGGCCUCUUAGAAGAAAUAGAGAGAAAAUGUCUCAUCAAAUUUCAACUUACCAAACCCUAAAGCUAUAAAGUUGAAUUUAUACUUCAUUUCUUU